rnacentral:piRNA from 1 species
UGGUGGCAGCGGGGCCAGAGACCCUGUGUA